AACGUAGGAGACGAACGUUAUCCGGAGUUACUGGGCGUAAAGGGCGUGUAGGCGGUUUGUUAAGUCUGGCGUGAAAGCUCUCGGCUAAACCGGGAGAGGUCGUUGGAUACUGGCGAACUAGAGGAUGGUAGAGGCGUGUGGAAUUCCGGGUGUAGUGGUGAAAUGCGUAGAGAUCCGGAGGAACACCAGUGGCGAAGGCGACACGCUGGGCCAUACCGUGACGCUAAAGCGCGACAGCAUGGGGAGCAAACGGG
rnacentral:rRNA from 1 species